ensembl:lncRNA
GCUGGGUGAGAGGCGGCCGGACCCUGCGCAUUGCUUGUGCUGUUGUGAAACAAUGGCUGGAAGGAGUCAAGGUUCACUUGUGCUCCGGAAAGCAAUGCCCCUGGCCUGCCAAGGAGAUCCAGCAGAUCUACCAGAAUCUUUCCCAGCUCUUCUGCUCUGUGCUGAGGCACUGGCAGGACUGCAAGGAGGAAAAGGACAAACAGGCCGUCCUCGGGGCCGUGGCUACCAUGAUGGCUGUCCUCCUGCAAGAGGAGCUGCCCCGAGAGCACGUCUGGGAGCAGCUCCUCUGGCUCGUGCGCCUGUAUCAGGAGGUCCAAGACACCUGCAGGGGGACCAAGAGCCUCAAUAUCUUCCUGGAGGCCUUAGAGGGAGUGCAAUCGGUCAUCCCGAAGGACAAGUUUCUGGCCAUCACCAGUGCCGUGUUCUACCACCUCUCUGAUGACACCAAGGAGCGCAGCGAGGCGGACAGAGCAGAGCUGACCCACUGCAUCCUGCUGCAGGCCCGGAUCUGCCCAGAGGAGACGGUCCAGUUUCUGCAGUCACAGCUGGGCGCUGACAGGGAGGCUGGACGCGUGGCAGCCCUGGGUCUGCUCGGUGCUCUGGCUCGCUCUGAUGAGCCCGUGAUGGCAAAGAAGCUGCCCCAGGUUGUGGAGGCUGUGCAGUGUCUGUGCAGCGACCCCAGGACCCAGGUGAGGAGGGCCAUUCUGCUCUUCAUCAAGGAUGUGCUCAGUGCUAACGCCCGGAGCUGCUCAGCCUGGGAUGUGGUGGGGCACAUCUUCAGUGAGUUCAGCCGCACCGCGGGAAGAAGGGCAGCCGGAGACCUUUCUGCCCAGGAAGCCCGGGAAGAAGGAGCUCUCCAAGAGCUGUGUAUGGACAUCCUGGGGUCACUGGAUGUCUCUGUGAGCGGGAUGACCAAA